ensembl:snoRNA
GCACCCCAGCGAAACCCUGUCAGUGUUGGACAUCGGCAUUGACGGUGCAAUAGUGACUCAAAAGUAUAUCCAGAUGGACCUCCCUCUCCAAUUGGAGCCUGUCUCUACAACAAUGAGACAAAA